UUGGAGGGCAAGUCUGGUGCCAGCAGCCGCGGUAAUUCCAGCUCCAAUAGCGUAUAUUAAAGUUGUUGCAGUUAAAAAGCUCGUAGUUGAAUUUCGGGAUCAAUGUUUCGGUCAUGCCGUUGGUAUGUACUGAUAUUAUUGAUUUCUCACCUUCUAAAGAACCGUAAUGCCAUUAAUUUGGUGUCACGGGGAAUUAGGACUGUUACCUUGAAAAAAUUAGAGUGUUUAAAGCAGGCUCACGCUUGAAUACAUUAGCAUGGAAUAAUGAAAUAGGACAUCCGAUUCUAUUUUGUUGGUUUCUAGGAUCGAUGUAAUGAUUAAUAGGGAUAGUUGGGGGCAUUAGUAUUCAAUUGUCAGAGGUGAAAUUCUUGGAUUUAUUGAGGACUAACUACUGCGAAAGCAUUUGCCAAGGAUGUUUUCAUUAAUCAAGAACGAAAGUUAGGGGAUCGAAGACGAUCAGAUACCGUCGUAGUCUUAACCAUAAACUAUGCCGACUAGGGAUCGGAUGAUGUUAAUUUUUUAAUGACUCAUUCGGCGCCUUACGGGAAAC
rnacentral:rRNA from 1 species